UGUUGGCCAAAGCUAUUACAGUGGUUAUUGCAUUUAAGGCCACUGUUCCAGCUAGAAUGGUGAGAUGGUUAAUGGUAUCAAGAGCCCCUAAUUUCAUCAUUCCCAUCUGCACACUGAUACAACUAAUUAUCUGUGGAAUCUGGGUGGUUACCUCUCCACCCUUCAUUGAUCAAGAUACUCAUGCUGAACAUGGUCACAUCAUCAUCGUGUGCAACAUGGGUUCAACAGUUGCCUUCCACACUGUCCUGGGGUACCUCUGCUCCUU